rnacentral:misc_RNA from 1 species
GAAAUGCGAUAAGUAAUGUGAAUUGCAGAAUUCAGUGAAUCAUCGAAUCUUUGAACGCACAUUGCGCCCGCCAGCACUCUGGCGGGCAUGCCUGUUCGAGCGUCAUUUCAACCCUCAGAACCCCUUGCGGGAUCUGGCGUUGGGGAUUGGCAUCCAGCUAGCCCCGAAAUCUAGUGGCGGUCCCUCCGCGACCUCCCCUGUGCAGUAGCGAUACCUCGCAGCGGGACAGCGGUCUGACCACGCCGUAAAACCCCCAACUUCUCAAGGUUGACCUCGAAUCAGGUAGGAAUACCCGCUGAACUUAAGC